rnacentral:rRNA from 1 species
UACGUAGGGUGCAAGCGUUAAUCGGAAUUACUGGGCGUAAAGCGUGCGCAGGCGGUUUUGUAAGUCAGAUGUGAAAUCCCCGGGCUUAACCUGGGAACUGCGUUUGAAACUACAAGGCUAGAGUGUGGCAGAGGGGGGUGGAAUUCCACGUGUAGCAGUGAAAUGCGUAGAGAUGUGGAGGAACACCGAUGGCGAAGGCAGCCUCCUGGGCCAAUACUGACGCUCAUGCACGAAAGCGUGGGGAGCAAACAGG